UCAAGCUACAAAGGGCGCAUGGUGAAUGCCUUGGCAUCAGGAGCCGAUGAAGGACGCGAUAAGCUGCGAUAAGCUUCGGGUAGACGCACAUAGUCAGAGAUCCGAAGAUUUCCGAAUGAGGAAACUCACAUGGGAAACCCCAUGUAUCAUAAAGUGAAUACAUAGCUUUAUGAAGGUAUACCCAGGGAACUGAAACAUCUAAGUACCUGGAGGAAGAGAAAGAAAAAUCGAUUUUCUUAGUAGCGGCGAGCGAAAAGGAAAGAGCCCAAACCAGAGAUUUAUCUCUGGGGUUGCGGACAGAACAUAACGAGAAAUCAUAGUUAAUUGAACACAACUGGAAAGUUGGACCACAGUGGGUAAUAGUCCCGUAAGUGAAAACUAUGAUAAUCAGUUCUGCACCAGAGUACCACGAGACACGUGAAACCUUGUGGGAAGCAGGGAGGACCACCUCCCAAGGCUAAAUACUACCUGAUGACCGAUAGUGAAGCAGUACCGUGAGGGAAAGGUGAAAAGAACCCCGGGAGGGGAGUGAAAUAGAACCUGAAACCAUGUGCCUACAACCGAUCAGAGCACCUUAUGUGUGUGAUGAUGUGCUUUUUGUAGAACGAGCCAACGAGUUACGGUAUGUAGCGAGGUUAAGUACUUAAGGUACGGAGCCGAAGGGAAACCGAGUCUUAAUAGGGCGACUAGUUGCAUGCUGUAGACCCGAAACCGGGUGACCUAUCCAUGGCCAGGUUGAAGCGAGGGUAAAACCUCGUGGAGGACCGAACCACGUUGCUGUUGAAAAAGCAUGGGAUGAGCUGUGGAUAGCGGAGAAAUUCCAAUCGAACUCGGAUAUAGCUGGUUCUCCUCGAAAUAGCUUUAGGGCUAGCGUCGGAAAAUGUGAGUAGUGGAGGUAGAGCACUGAAUAGGCUAGGGGGCAUAGCGCUUACCGAACCUUAUCAAACUCCGAAUGCCACAUACUAUCAGUCCGGCAGUCAGACUAUGAAAGAUAAGUUCCAUGGUCAAAAGGGAAACAGCCCAGAUCGUCAGCUAAGGUCCCAAAGUGUAAGUUAAGUGGAAAAGGAUGUGGGAUUUCUAAGACAACUAGGAUGUUGGCUUAGAAGCAGCCACUCAUUAAAAGAGUGCGUAAUAGCUCACUAGUCAAGAGAUCCUGCGCCGAAAAUGUCCGGGGCUCAAACUUACCACCGAAGCUACGGGUUCACGUUUAACGUGAGCGGUAGAGGAGCGUCGUAAUCGGGCUGAAGUCGUACCGUAAGGAGCGGUGGACUGAUUACGAGUGAGAAUGUUGGCAUUAGUAGCGAGAUGUAGGCGAGAAUCCUACAGGCCGAAUAUCUAAGGUUUCCUGAGUAAAGUUUGUCUUCUCAGGGUUAGUCGGGACCUAAGGCGAGGCCGAAAGGCGUAGUCGAUGGACAAUUGGUUGAUAUUCCAAUACCACUAUAAUCGUUAUUAUCGAUGGUGUGACGGAGAAGGAUAGGAUGUGCUAGCUAUUGGAUGCUAGUCUAAGCGUUUAGGGAGUUGGGAUUGGCAAAUCCGUUCCAACAAUUCUGAGGCGUGAUGGGGAAGGUUCUACGGAACCGAAGUAUCUGAUUCCAUGCUUCCAAGAAAAGCAUCUAGAGAGAGAAGUAGUGCCCGUACCGCAAACCGACACAGGUAGAUGAGGAGAGAAUCCUAAGGCCGACGGAAGAAUUGCAGUUAAGGAACUAGGCAAAUUGACCCCGUAACUUCGGGAGAAGGGGUGCCUGAGAAAUCAGGCCGCAGAGAAUAGGCACAAGCAACUGUUUAACAAAAACACAGGUCUCUGCUAAAGCGAAAGCUGAUGUAUAGGGGCUGACGCCUGCCCGGUGCUGGAAGGUUAAGGGGAACACUUAGUGGUAACGCGAAGGUGUGAACUUAAGCCCCAGUAAACGGCGGCCGUAACUAUAACGGUCCUAAGGUAGCGAAAUUCCUUGUCAGGUAAGUUCUGACCCGCACGAAUGGCGUAAUGACUUGUGCACUGUCUCAACUGCAAAUCCGGCGAAGUUGUAGUGCGAGUGAAGAUGCUCGCUACCCGCGAUUGGACGGAAAGACCCCGUAGAGCUUUACUGUAGCUUAGCAUUGAAUUUCGGUAUUGUCUGUACAGGAUAGGUGGGAGACUGGGAAACUAGGGCGUCAGCCUUGGUGGAGUCGUUGUUGGGAUACCACCCUGAUAGUAUUGAAGUUCUAACUGGAUGCCAUGAAACUGGUGACAGGACAUUGUUAGGUGGGCAGUUUGACUGGGGCGGUCGCCUCCUAAAAUGUAACGGAGGCGCCCAA
rnacentral:rRNA from 1 species